GCAGGUGCAUGCCUCUAGCAGUAAGUCAGACAAGUGAACCCGCUGAA
rnacentral:rRNA from 1 species